rnacentral:rRNA from 1 species
AUACGUAGGGGGCGAGCGUUGUCCGGAAUGAUAGGGCGUAAAGGGCGCGUAGGCGGCCCGGUAAGUCUGGAGUGAAAGUCCUGUUUUUAAGAUGGGAAUUGCUUUGGAUACUGUCGGGCUUGAGUGCAGGAGAGGUAAGUGGAAUUCCCAGUGUAGCGGUGAAAUGCGUAGAGAUUGGGAGGAACACCAGUGGCGAAGGCGACUUACUGGACUGUAACUGACGCUGAGGCGCGAAAGUGUGGGGAGCAAACAGGAUUAGAUACCCUGGUAGUCCACACUGUAAACGAUGAAUGCUAGGUGUAGGGGGUAUCGACCCCUUCUGUGCCGCAGUCAACACAAUAAGCAUUCCGCCUGGGGAGUACGGCCGCAAGGUUGAAACUCAAAGGAAUUGACGGGG